GGGAAAUGGUACCAAUAGUUUAGAUUUAAGAAAGUCACCUUGUCCGGGAGAGAGUUAUCAAAACGUCAUGCCAGGAUACCUAUUGUGAGAGUUGCUUGACUACAGCCCAAGAAAUUGAGAGCAGAAGAAAGACACAGCAGAGUCCAGACGGGAUGUUAUUGAGAAGCUAGUCAGUGGUGCUGUGUACCAAGAUUUAGAUGCUAAAAUCCCCACUGAACACAUUUUAAUGUAACUAUGUUCAACUGUACCAACUCUGUUUAUUUAAUCUCCAAAAUUCUCUUAGAAUAAAGAUAUUUCUCAAUAUCAUGUUGUUUUAUGUUAUUGUAAUUUCUGCCAUACUAACUGACAAUGCAAUCAUUUGUAGGUUCACCCACUAAUGCAAUAUAUUGAUAAAGGAUGUGACAACUAUUAUCUUAAUGGUAUCAAGUGUUCAGCCAUCUGCCCUUUUCCAGAAACAUCCAUAUUGCGUUUCUCUCUGUCUCAUACAAAAUCCAUAUCUGAAUAAGCUAAGAAUUAACACAGUUGGAUUGAAGUAUAUGAAUUUGAAUGGGAUAUUAUUGAUUAUGCAUUAUACACUAUUUCAAAUUUGCUUUCAUUUGUAAAUUACAUUGUCAAAUCACUCAAUUUGAAUGUGAGUCAUGUAAUACUUUUACAGAUUCAAGAGAUAAUUAUGAUGACUGAAUAAUGAUUUAUUUCAGAAAUUCUGACAUAAAUAAAGAUGUAGUAUAUUUAAUUCAACUGCUAAUAAUAGUAGGUACAUUUCAUAUUCACAAAUGCAAAUGGUCUAAUUCAAAAACCUAACUUUUUUCACUUUAUAAAUGAGUUUAAACAAUAUGGCACUACUUACAUUAUUUUUUUUUAAGGCAUUUAAAAAUUGUAUUAUUAAUUAAUAUGAUUUGUUUGUUUAGGAUUCCUGGCAACGUAAAUAGUUUGUUUGUAUGCUUGUUUUCAUGUGACUAUUCC
ensembl:lncRNA